rnacentral:rRNA from 1 species
UACAGAGGGGGCAAGCGUUGUUCGGAAUUACUGGGCGUAAAGGGCGCGUAGGCGGCCGCCUAAGUCAGACGUGAAAUCCCUCGGCUCAACCGGGGAACUGCGUCCGAUACUGGAUGGCUUGAAUCCGGGAGAGGGAUGCAGAAUUCCAGGUGUAGCGGUGAAAUGCGUAGAUAUCUGGAGGAAUACCGGUGGCGAAGGCGGCAUCCUGGACCGGCAUUGACGCUGAGGAGCGAAAGCCAGGGGAGCAAAGCGGG